CCAGCAGCCGGGGUAUUACGGAGGGUGCGAAGGUUUAUCGGAAUUACUGGGCGUAAAGCGCAUGCAGGUGGUUUGUUAAUUCAGAUGUGAAAGCCCGGGGCUCAACCUCGGAAUUGCAUUUGAAACUGACAAACUAGAGUACUGUAGAGGGGGGUAGAAUUUCAGGUGUAGCGGUGAAAUGCGUAGAGAUCUGAAGGAAUACCGGUGGCGAAGGCGGCCCCCUGGACAGAUACUGACACUCAGAUGCGAAAGCGUGGGGAGCAAACAGGAUUAGAUACCCUGGUAGUCCACGCCGUAAACGAUGUCUACUUGGAGGUUGUGGCCUUGAGCCGUGGCUUUCGGAGCUAACGCGUUAAGUAGACCGCCUGGGGAGUACGGUCGCAAGAUUAAAACUCAAAUGAAUUGACGGGGGCCCGCACAAGCGGUGGAGCAUGUGGUUUAAUUCGAUGCAACGCGAAGAACCUUACCUACUCUUGACAUCUACAGAAGCCAGCGGAGACGCAGGUGUGCCUUCGGGAACUGUAAGACAGGUGCUGCAUGGCUGUCGUCAGCUCGUGUUGUGAAAUGUUGGGUUAAGUCCCGCAACGAGCGCAAUCCUUAUCCUUGUUUGCCAGCACUUCGGGUGGGAACUCCAGGGAGACUGCCGGUGAUAAACCGGAGGAAGGUGGGGACGACGUCAAGUCAUCAUGGCCCUUACGAGUAGGGCUACACACGUGCUACAAUGGCGCAUACAGAGGGCGGCCAACUUGCGAAAGUGAGCGAAUCCCAAAAAGUGCGUCGUAGUCCGGAUUGGAGUCUGCAACUCGACUCCAUGAAGUCGGAAUCGCUAGUAAUCGUGGAUCAGAAUGCCACGGUGAAUACGUUCCCGGGCCUUGUACACACCGCCCGUCACACCAUGGGAGUGGGCUGCAAAAGAAGUGGGUAGUUUAACCUUCGGGAGGACGCUCACCACUUUGUGGUUCAUGACUGGGGUGAAGUCGUAACAAGGUAACCG
rnacentral:rRNA from 1 species